UCAUUCAACAAAACACCGGUGAGGUACAGCAGCACAGUAAGGCAGAGCAUGGGCGGCUCCAUCUGUCCAGUCUGUAUGAACUGAAGCCCAGCUUUGCCCUUUAGCUGUGUGACUUUGGGCAACUUAUGUGAGCUCUCGUGUCUCUGUCCUGUCAUCUGUGAAACAGGAAUUAUACUGGGACCUGUUUCACGGGGUUCUAAUGAUGAUUAAAUGAGUUACAUUUGUAAAGUUUUUAGAUGAGUACCUGGCACAAAGUGUUUGCUAAAUAAUCUAAGGAAAGAAAAGAAAAAAACCAGCCAGGUGCUAGCUGUCGAGAAAGAAAAAUACUACAUAAUUCUUGCCAUCAGGAAAUUACAAUCAGAUUGAAGGAAUGUGGAACCCCUUAGGCUCAUGAAUUCUCACUGCAAAUCUUAGACACUUUCACAGAUGAGAAGAGAUGCUGACUAUACAAACCCAGCCUUAUGCCUCAGAUUAUUUGCCCACUCCUCCUUACUGAGCAUAUCCCACACCCUAGACAGACUCGGGAACCAGACAGACCAGGUCUGUGGGAAGCCAUGGAGAACGUGGCCUGGAGCAGGAGGAGGUUGACUUUGGCAGUUCCUAAGAAAGCAGUCGAACCAGCAUCGGGCCACACAGUACUAUUUCUCCAACUUCCCUCAGAGAACGGAGAUUCCGCUGGAGAACCACGAUCAGGCCCCCCAGGUUUAGGCGUACAACAGCACCAAGCAGCCUCCCAUGUGCCCCAGGAGACCCUCGGCCCCUAAGACCCAGCCCCGCGGGCGCCCUCUGCUGGGGGACGUGUCCGGGACAUGCCUUCUAAAACAGGAAAAGAGGAAGGAAAGCCUGAGCUCAGACUUGCCAGACAAUAAAAGAAAAACGUGAAGGGAAAUGGACCACCCAGGCUUGCACAGAUGAGGACACCCAUCAGGGAGCCCAAAGCCAAGCUGUUCCCUGGAUGCAGCCCUCUGCCACUUAGUCUGCAAGUGCUUCCUGUCUCUCCUUGGUCUCUGACUUGCAGCCUGCUUUGGAAAUGACUUGGCCCACACUCCUCCAGCUCUUGCGCAUCAAUCAACCCAUGACUGUACGGGCUGACUCAAGGACGUGCUUCUUCCUUUCAAUACAUAAAGAACUUUUGUCUACGAUGAGCUCUGCCAUGCAGUUACUUGAUUACAUAGGCUUUUGUUUUUUGCCCAGGAUGGUCUUUCUAAAAAUUGAUGCUAAAAAAAAAAAACCCUGAAUGCCACUGAUUUCAUACUUCAAAAUGAUUCAAAUGGCAAAUUUCAUGUUAUAUGUAUUUUACAAUAGAAAAUAAUCAGGCAAUUAAUUUUUAAAGAUAUGGUACAACUCCAAGAUAUUCCACAGUAAAAAUAUUUUUGAUUAAAGUAUACUCAUCAAAAAAAUUAAAAUAAAUAAGUAAUAAAAUUGAUAGUAAGGUUAAUUUAUAACCAGGUAGUAUGGGGGGGUGCGUGGAGUAAGGUUUAGAGAAAAAUAGACAGGCUUUUCUUCCCACACCUUUUUUCCUAACAACUCUUUAUCUGUCUGCACCAUAACAAAACACCCUGCUGAAAUGGGAAUUCAUUGGUCUAAAAAAAAAAUCAUAGUAUACUGUCUAAACACCACCACCCACUGUGCAUAUCAUCACAAGCUUCAUAAGAUUUACUGAAUAUCACAAAUUGAGCCUUUGAUUUGAUAAAUUUGAUAACUUUUUUUGUUUAGUACUAAGGGUUGAACCCAGGUCCUUGCACUGAGCUACAUCCCCAGCACUUUUUAAAUUUUUUCCUUUCAAUACAGGGUCUUGCUAAGUUGCCCAGGCUGGCCUUGAAGUUACGAUUCUCGUGCCUCAACCUCCUGAGUAGCUGGGAUUAUAGGUGUCCAUGGCCCCACCAGGCUAAUUUGAUACUUUUGAUGAUCAUUCUUAUACAAUAGUUUGGAUUUGGAAAGAUCAAUAGCUAAAAUUGUAACUUUUAGCUUUGUACAAUAGUAACUGAAUUGAUAAAUUUAACACAGUAUAACCAACCAGUCUAUAUCACAUACAUAUUUGGUGUGUUCAUAACCCAAUACACUGGCAUAUGAAGCAGAUCAAUGGGAGGAGGGGUUGCCAUUUCUGGAUUUUGGGGAAUGUAUUACAUCCGACUUGUGUCUUUAACAUGCAGGAAGACCAUGAGACUAUUUCAUGCCAAGUUCACAGCUUUUAUUUAAUAUUAAACAAUGCCAUAAAUUGGAAUAAAUGCAAAUAUGCUAAAUAAAUCAUAAAAGACUUAAGGGUAAAUUGAAGUGCAAGAUAAACAGUUGUCUUAACAAAAUAAAACAAACUGGGUCAAUUUUGGAGUGAUAUUUUUAUUUUUCCAGGGGUUUUUUGGGGGGGGUACAUGUUUGCAAUACAUGAUUACACUCCUUGUGGGGAAUUGGUACAU